rnacentral:rRNA from 1 species
UCAAGUGAAGAAGCGCAUACGGUGGAUGCCUUGGCAGUCAGAGGCGAUGAAAGACGUGGUAGCCUGCGAAAAGCUUCGGGGAGUCGGCAAACAGACUUUGAUCCGGAGAUCUCUGAAUGGGGGAACCCACCUAGGAUAACCUAGGUAUCUUGUACUGAAUCCAUAGGUGCAAGAGGCGAACCAGGGGAACUGAAACAUCUAAGUACCCUGAGGAAAAGAAAUCAACCGAGAUUCCCUUAGUAGUGGCGAGCGAACGGGGAUUAGCCCUUAAGCUUCAUUGAUUUUAGCGGAACGCUCUGGAAAGUGCGGCCAUAGUGGGUGAUAGCCCCGUACGCGAAAGGAUCUUUGAAGUGAAAUCGAGUAGGACGGAGCACGAGAAACUUUGUCUGAACAUGGGGGGACCAUCCUCCAAGGCUAAAUACUACUGACUGACCGAUAGUGAACCAGUACCGUGAGGGAAAGGCGAAAAGAACCCCGGAGAGGGGAGUGAAAUAGAACCUGAAACCGUAUGCGUACAAGCAGUGGGAGCCUACUUGUUAGGUGACUGCGUACCUUUUGUAUAAUGGGUCAGCGACUUAUAUUCAGUGGCGAGCUUAACCGUAUAGGGUAGGCGUAGCGAAAGCGAGUCUUAAUAGGGCGUUUAGUCGCUGGGUAUAGACCCGAAACCGGGCGAUCUAUCCAUGAGCAGGUUGAAGGUUAGGUAACACUGACUGGAGGACCGAACCCACUCCCGUUGAAAAGGUAGGGGAUGACUUGUGGAUCGGAGUGAAAGGCUAAUCAAGCUCGGAGAUAGCUGGUUCUCCUCGAAAGCUAUUUAGGUAGCGCCUCAUGUAUCACUCUGGGGGGUAGAGCACUGUUUCGGCUAGGGGGUCAUCCCGACUUACCAAACCGAUGCAAACUCCGAAUACCCAGAAGUGCCGAGCAUGGGAGACACACGGCGGGUGCUAACGUCCGUCGUGAAAAGGGAAACAACCCAGACCGCCAGCUAAGGUCCCAAAGUUGUGGUUAAGUGGUAAACGAUGUGGGAAGGCUUAGACAGCUAGGAGGUUGGCUUAGAAGCAGCCAUCCUUUAAAGAAAGCGUAAUAGCUCACUAGUCGAGUCGGCCUGCGCGGAAGAUGUAACGGGGCUCAAACCACACACCGAAGCUGCGGGUGUCACGUAAGUGACGCGGUAGAGGAGCGUUCUGUAAGCCUGUGAAGGUGAGUUGAGAAGCUUGCUGGAGGUAUCAGAAGUGCGAAUGCUGACAUGAGUAACGACAAUGGGUGUGAAAAACAUCCACGCCGAAAGACCAAGGGUUCCUGCGCAACGUUAAUCGACGCAGGGUUAGUCGGUUCCUAAGGCGAGGCUGAAAAGCGUAGUCGAUGGGAAACAGGUUAAUAUUCCUGUACUUCUGGUUACUGCGAUGGAGGGACGGAGAAGGCUAGGCCAGCUUGGCGUUGGUUGUCCAAGUUUAAGGUGGUAGGCUGAAAUCUUAGGUAAAUCCGGGGUUUCAAGGCCGAGAGCUGAUGACGAGUCGUCUUUUAGAUGACGAAGUGGUUGAUGCCAUGCUUCCAAGAAAAGCUUCUAAGCUUCAGGUAACCAGGAACCGUACCCCAAACCGACACAGGUGGUCGGGUAGAGAAUACCAAGGCGCUUGAGAGAACUCGGGUGAAGGAACUAGGCAAAAUGGCACCGUAACUUCGGGAGAAGGUGCGCCGGCUAGGGUGAAGGAUUUACUCCGUAAGCUCUGGCUGGUCGAAGAUACCAGGCCGCUGCGACUGUUUAUUAAAAACACAGCACUCUGCAAACACGAAAGUGGACGUAUAGGGUGUGACGCCUGCCCGGUGCCGGAAGGUUAAUUGAUGGGGUUAGCGCAAGCGAAGCUCUUGAUCGAAGCCCCGGUAAACGGCGGCCGUAACUAUAACGGUCCUAAGGUAGCGAAAUUCCUUGUCGGGUAAGUUCCGACCUGCACGAAUGGCGUAACGAUGGCGGCGCUGUCUCCACCCGAGAC